rnacentral:rRNA from 1 species
UACGGUCGCAAGAUUAAAACUCAAAGGAAUUGACGGGGACCCGCACAAGCGGUGGAUGAUGUGGAUUAAUUCGAUGCAACGCGAAAAACCUUACCUACCCUUGACAUGUCAGGAGUCCCGUAGAGAUAUGGGAGUGCCGCAAGGAACCUGAACACAGGUGCUGCAUGGCUGUCGUCAGCUCGUGUCGUGAGAUGUUGGGUUAAGUCCCGCAACGAGCGCAACCCUUGUCAUUAGUUGCCAUCAUUUAGUUGGGCACUCUAAUGAGACUGCCGGUGACAAACCGGAGGAAGGUGGGGAUGACGUCAAGUCCUCAUGGCCCUUAUGGGUAGGGCUUCACACGUCAUACAAUGGUCGGUACAGAGGGUCGCUAACCCGCGAGGGGGUGCCAAUCUCAGAAAGCCGAUCGUAGUCCGGAUCGUAGUCUGCAACUCGACUACGUGAAGUCGGAAUCGCUAGUAAUCGCGGAUCAGAAUGCCGCGGUGAAUACGUUCCCGGGUCUUGUACACACCGCCCGUCACACCAUGGGAGUGGGUUUCACCAGAAGUAGCUAGCCUAACCGUAAGGGGGGCGGUUACCACGGUGAGAUUCAUGACUGGGGUG